UACCCGCUGAACUUAAGCAUAUCAAUAAGCGAAGGA
rnacentral:rRNA from 1 species